GACGAACGCUGGCGGCGUGCUUAACACAUGCAAGUCGAACGGAAGGGCCCUGCUUUUGUGGGGUGCUCGAGUGGCGAACGGGUGAGUAACACGUGAGUAACCUGCCCUUGACUUUGGGAUAACUUCAGGAAACUGGGGCUAAUACCGGAUAGGAGCUCCUGCUGCAUGGUGGGGGUUGGAAAGUUUCGGCGGUUGGGGAUGGACUCGCGGCUUAUCAGCUUGUUGGUGGGGUAGUGGCUUACCAAGGCUUUGACGGGUAGCCGGCCUGAGAGGGUGACCGGCGACAUUGGGACUGAGAUACGGCCCAGACUCCUACGGGAGGCAGCAGUGGGGAAUAUUGCACAAUGGGCGGAAGCCUGAUGCAGCAACGCCGCGUGCGGGAUGACGGCCUUCGGGUUGUAAACCGCUUUCGCCUGUGACGAAGCGUGAGUGACGGUAAUGGGUAAAGAAGCACCGGCUAACUACGUG
rnacentral:rRNA from 1 species